GUUGAUCCUGCCGGAGGCUACUGCUAUUGGAGUUCGAUUAANCCAUGCGAGUCUAAGGGACUUCGGUCCCUGGCAUAAUGCUCAGUAACAAGUGGAUAAUUUGCCCUCAGGUGAGGAAUAAACCCGGGAAACUGGGGCUAAUACCUCAUAGGCACAGAAAGCUGGAAUGCUUCUGUGCUCAAAGCUCCGGCGCCUGAGGAUGAGUCUGCUCCCUAUCAGGUUGUAGUCAGGGUCAAGGCCUGACUAGCCUACGACGGGUACGGGGUGUGAAAGCACUUGCCCGGAGAUGGUUUCUGAGACACGAAACCAGGCCCUACGGGGCGCAGCAGGCGCGAAAACUUCGCAAUGCGGGAAACCGUGACGAGGGAACUCCAAGUGUCUAUGCAAUGCAUAGACUGUUUUUCAGCCUAAACAGCUGU
rnacentral:rRNA from 1 species